GGGAGGGGGCGGUGUUUCCGGCCGCCGUUGCUGUUCUGGGAGGCUGAGGCGAGAGGGAGCUUGCCGGGUGGGGAGCCGCACUCCCGUCUUUCUUUUCCUCCUCCUCAGGGUGAGGGGAGCGAAGGUUGGGGCUCCGACCCCAUGGACCGGGAGGAGGCGGAGGCCGCCGAGAGCCGGGGCCCCGCCGUGUGGCCCUGAGCCCCGUGGACUUGUUCUGCCUGUCUGGAAGGCCAUGGAGAACCUGGGAAUCAAGCCAAGUGCUGCUUUCUGGAUUUUAUCAGGAUUUUUUUGGCAGACAUCUGUGAAGUGGUUGAGAAGUCUGUACCUGAUUUAUAUUUGCUUUUGCUUCCGUGCUCUGUGGUUGUCAACAGAUGCCAAGGAGAGCAGGUGCCAGCAGGCGAAGACACAAUUUGGAGUUGGCCUGAGAUCUGGGGGAGAAAAUCACCUCCAGCUUCUUGAAGGAACCCCCUCUCUCCAGUCAUGUUGGGCUACCUGCUGCCAGGACACUGCCUGCCAUGCCUUUUGGUGGUUAGAAGGGAUGUGCAUCCAGGCAGACUGCAGCAGGCCCCAGAGCUGCCGGGCUUUUAGGACAGACUCUUCCAAUUCCAUGCUGGUGUUUUUAAAAAAAUUCCAAAUUGCAGAUGGUUUGGGCUUUCCACUUGACGAUGAUAUUCCACAUACUCUGGGGUUAGGUUGGAGCAGGGCAUCUUGGAGGAGGCAGAGCCCACCCAGAGCUCCACUCAGAUCCACUGUGUCUUCCAGUGACCCGCAGAGCUUACUCAGGAAGCUUUGGAAGAGAGAGAGUCCCAGUGAAAAAGUGGCUACAGUGACACAACCUUCUAAAAUGAAUGACUCCAAGGAACUAGGCGAUCUGAACACCACUGGCUUAGCAGAGGUCCAAAAAGCAGUUAAAAUUUCUAAUCCCUUAACCACAAACCUGACUGCGAAGAUUCCUGGUUGGUCGAAGAAUGUAUCAGUCCAGUCUGAGAAGUCAGAGGACUCUGGUACUAUGCCUACCAUUCAGCAAGUAAAAAACCCUGGGGAAAUCCAGAUUUCUUCCCCUCUACUGGUGACUCCCUCCUACAGUUAUGCUACCUCUGCCCCCCAGACCUCUUUCCCAAGCACCUCAGCACCAGUUAUAAAGGAACUGGUGGUAUCUGCUGGAGAGAGUGUUCAGAUGACGCUUCCUAAGAAUGAAGUUCAGUUAAAUGCGUUUGUUCUCCAAGAACCACGUGAAGGAGAAACCUACACCUACAACUGGCAGCUGAUUACUCAUCCUAAAGACUACAGUGGAGAAAUGGAAGGGAAACAUUCCCAGAUCCUCAAACUGUCCAAGCUCACUCCAGGCCUGUAUGAAUUCAAAGUGAUUGUAGAUGGUCAGAAUACCCACGGGGAAGGCUAUGUGAAUGUGACAGUAAAACCAGAGCCCCGCAAGAAUCAGCCUCCUGUUGCCAUUGUAUCACCACAGUUCCAGGAGAUCUCUCUGCCAACCACUUCUACAGUCAUUGAUGGCAGCCAAAGCACUGAUGAUGAUAGAAUCGUCCAGUACCAUUGGGAAGAACUCAAGGGACCUCUGAGAGAAGAGAAGAUUUCUGAAGAUACAGCCAUAUUAAAACUAAGUAAGCUCGUCCCUGGGAACUACACUUUCAGCUUAACUGUAGUAGACUCUGAUGGAGCUACCAACUCUACCACUGCAAGCCUGACAGUGAACAAGGCCGUGGAUUACCCCCCUGUGGCCAACGCAGGCCCCAACCAAGUGAUCACUCUGCCCCAGAACUCCAUCACCCUCUUUGGGAAUCAGAGCACCGAUGAUCACGGCAUUGCCAGCUAUGAGUGGUCACUCAGCCCAAGCAGCAAAGGGAAAGUGAUGGAGAUGCAGGGUGUUAGAACACCAACCCUGCAGCUGUCUGCCAUGCAGGAAGGAGACUACACUUACCAGCUCACAGUGACUGACACAAUUGGACAGCAGGCCACCGCUCAAGUGACUGUUAUUGUGCAGCCUGAAAACAACAAGCCUCCACAGGCAGAUGCAGGCCCAGAUAAAGAGCUGACUCUUCCCGUGGAUAGCACAACCCUGGAUGGCAGCAAAAGCUCAGACGAUCAGAAAAUUAUCUCAUAUCUCUGGGAAAAAACACAGGGGCCUGACGGGGUACAGCUGGAGAAUGCUAACAGCAGUGUUGCCACUGUGGCUGGGCUGCAAGUGGGAACCUACGUGUUCACCUUGACUGUCAAAGAUGAGAGGAACCUGCAAAGCCAGAGCUCUGUGAAUGUCAUUGUCAAAGAAGAAAUAAACAAACCACCUCUAGCCAAGAUAACUGGGAAUGUGGUGAUUACCUUGCCCACGGACACGGCAGAGUUGGACGGCUCCAAGUCCUCCGAUGACAAAGGGAUAGUCAGCUACCUCUGGACUCGAGAUGAGGGGAGCCCAGCAGCAGGGGAGGUGUUAAAUCAUUCCGACCACCACCCUGUCCUCUUUCUUUCCAACCUGAUCGAGGGAACCUACACAUUUCACCUGAAAGUGACUGAUGCGAAGGGUGAGAGUGACACAGACCGGACCACUGUGGAGGUGAAACCUGAUCCCAGGAAAAACAACCUGGUGGAGAUCAUCUUGGAUGUCAACGUCAGUCAGCUAACUGAGAGGCUGAAGGGGAUGUUCAUCCGCCAGAUUGGGGUCCUCCUGGGGGUGCUGGAUUCCGACAUCAUUGUGCAAAAGAUUCAGCCGUACACGGAGCAGAGCACCAAGAUGGUAUUUUUUGUUCAAAAUGAGCCUCCCCACCAGAUCUUCAAAGGCCAUGAGGUGGCAGCGAUGCUCAAGAGUGAGCUGCGGAAGCAAAAGGCAGACUUUCUGAUAUUCAGAGCCCUGGACAUCAGUACUGUCACGUGCCAGCUGAACUGUUCUGACCAUGGUCACUGUGAUUCAUUCACCAAACGCUGUAUCUGUGACCCUUUUUGGAUGGAGAAUUUCAUCAAGGUGCAGCUGAGAGAUGGAGAUAGCAACUGUGAGUGGAGUGUGUUAUAUGUUAUCAUUGCUUCCUUUGUCAUUGUUGUUGCCUUGGGAAUCCUGUUCUGGACUGUGAUCUGUUGCUGUAAGAGGCAAAAAGGAAAACCUAAGAGGAAAAGCAAGUACAAGAUCCUGGAUGCCACAGAUCAGGAAAGUCUGGAACUAAAGCCAACCUCUCGAGCAGGCAUCAAACAGAAAGGCCCGAUGCUCAGCAGCAGCCUGAUGCACUCUGAGUCGGAGCUGGACAGUGACGACGCCAUCUUCACGUGGCCCGACCGGGAGAAGGGCAAACUCCUGCAUAGUCAGAACGGCUCUGUGCCCAACGGGCAGACCCCGCUCAAGGCCAGGAGCCCACGGGAGGAGAUCUUGUAGCCACCGGGUCUGCCUCCUCAGGUUAGGGCUUGGCAGUGCCAGGGGUCCAGAGCAUUGCUAGGCUGGUUCUCAUACUUCCUGUGUCAGAGGGCAGCUGUUCUCCCAGCAUCUGCUGGUCACUUCACCCUAACAUCCUCAGCCAGAGCUGCUGGUACUUGAAUCCAGACAUUCUCCGGGAACCCCCGAAUGAAGCUGUGAACGAAGAGGUUUCCUCUUUAAAUUUGUCUGUUCCUAGCACCGUGGCUGGUGUGCACUUAAAAAUGUGCCUGUGAUGAACACAGAGCCUGAUACUGACCAAGCCAGAGAUGUGAAAGAAGUGGCUUCUCAAAGGAAAAUGCCAGCUGAAGAGGGGAGAAGGUGGCAGAUCUAGCCACUGCUGAGCUGAGCUGACACUCCAAGGGAACCCGGCCUAGUAAGUUCCCAGAGAGUAUUGCUAGGGGUGGGGUGGUGGGUAGAAUAGAGAUGGAAUUAAAAUACUGAACAAUGAGUGACACUUAAGGUAGAGUUAGGGUGGUGACUAAAAUGAAAGCAAUCUAAGUUCCUUCCAGAGGAGGACAGUGAAAAUGCUGAUUAGCUUUAGAGUUUUAAGUCAGGUGUUCAUGGUAUAACGACUGAGAAAGCUACUAAAAAUUCAGAAACAGAACAUGUAACCUCGAAACCAGAAAAGGAAAGAAAAAAAAUACUUCAGUCAACCAAACAGCAGGAACAGAGAGAGGAAACAGCAGCAUUAAAAAUCCCAUCACUUAAUAGGCAGAAGUUGUCAGAUUGGGUAUGAAAACGACCACCUCCUCCUCCUCCACACAAACGUUUACAGACUGGAUAUAAUUGUAGAAUGAUAUUCACCAGAGAGACACCUAAAAUGUAAGGUUGAAAAAUAAAAGGGCAGCAAAGAUACACUGGGGGCUUUGGUUCCUAUUAAGGGAGCGAAGCAGCACAGGCUACUGGCUCCCUUCCCCAAAAAUCAACCUUAGAAAAACAGUACAUUCUAGGGAACAGCGAAAAUCUGAGGAACCACCACCAAAACCAGACACAACCCAAACCAACAAGAAAUCUCCCCAAAUCCUGUACGAACCCCCAGGAGACUGAAGGUCUCCUCAGAAACUGGGAGGGGAGGUAGGACAUCAGUGAGACGUCUACUCCUGCUAUGCCUGCGACAAAAGUGGGACACGCAGGGCAGCCCCGGAACUGCUGGGUGAAAACGGGUGGGCUAGGCAGCUUCUCUUGGGAUUGAAACCUUUUAGCCUCUGAAGCCCCAGGGCUGGCAGAUGACAAUCAGGAAUUGCUGCUUCUUCCUAAACCUCUGAAAGUAAAUCUGAGAGCAGCUGCUGGUGGAGUAGCUGACGAUGACUGUGAAGUACCUGGAGGUUAUUACCUUCCCCUGCUUGAGCUCAUUGGAAAGGAGAGCACAUGGCCUUGCCCUUUCACCAGUAAAUACUACUGGACAGAGGAGCUGGUGCUCUGAAGGAACAUGAGCUCACAGGCCAAAAUAACCAGAGUGUAAUUCCCGGCCCCCAAAGUCAGCAAACUAAACUUAUACUCUAACCAAGAAUUAAAAAUAAAG